CUCGCGUGCCCCCGCGAGAGGGGACCGCGCACAUGGCAGCCCCCCGGCUCUCUCUCUCUCUGCCCGCGUGCCCCCGCGAGAGGGGACCCGCGCACAUGGCAGGCCCCCCCCGGCUCUCUCCCUCCCUCUCCUCCCCCCUCCCCGGCUCCCUCCUCCUCUACUGUGGUCCUUCCUCUGAUCCCUUCUCUCUUCGAUCCGCCCCUUUCGGGUGUUUGUCGGACCCUACCCUGACCUCCCCCUCUCCCUGUCCCCUCCCCUGCCUCUCUCUCCCUCUCUCUUUUUCUUCUCUCUCUUACUCCCGCGCCCCUCUCCCCGCCUCCUUCUCCUGUCGCCCCACAGGGCUCGCAGGCCCCCGCGCCCUCUCCCUAGUGCUCGUGUCCUGUUCGCGGGCGCGGGCGCAGGUGCGAGCGGGUGCGGGCGAGCGGGCUCGGACGCGGGCACGGGCGGCGCGCGGGAGGGAGCCGGGGCGCGAGCGGGUGCCCGGCGCGGGUCGGUCGCAGGGGGCAGCACGUGCGAGCGCGCCCGGGCCCCGGGCGCGGGUCGGACGCAGAGGGCAGCACGUGCGAGCGCGGCACGGGCGGGCAACUCUCCCUUCCCCCCUUCCCCCACCCCUCUCCGGAGAAACAUAAGUUAACAAACAACUGAGAGUGAUUGUUUUUAGUGUAAUCCUUUCCUCAGUCUCUAUCUCUUGCACUCCAAGUGUUUGUGAAUUGCCUCUGCAGUGGUGAAGUAGCUGUGGUCUGAGCUUAUUAUCUGGAGGAUUAAUGCUUUAUCUUUCAUAGCUGAAUCGGUGGCGUCAGCGAUCAUCGAGGCGUGCCCGGCGGCUGGCGGCAUGUAGGAAAAUCCUCCUAAAUUUGGAGAAAUUCAGAAGCUGGGUUAUCAAAAACCUCGAAAUUACUACGUAAAUGGAUCGAUCGGGGAUCGAGCACUUCCUUCGAUCUCUUCUCCGCAUUCAUUUGGGGCCUCGAAGGGAGCUUCACACGUAGAAGCGUUUGCUCAUAUACGGAGAGGUCGUGUUGGAGAAGAAUGAAAUCGCACGAGGAGAGAGAAAGGAGGUUUUCCUUUGCUGUUUCGUUUUUGUUCUGUAAAUUUUGGGUUUAAUGGCAUUUUUUCUUGUGGGAGUUGCAUACUUUGCUUCUUAAUUUAGGGAAAGCUUGUUGGGUUUUGCUCUAGGGGUUUUGUGCAGUACGCGUUGCUGGUAAAGAUGGGGAGUUUAUAUGUGUUUUAUUUAAUGUUGUAGCAGUUGCAGCAAUGUGUGGGAGAUUGAGAAAGAUUUGAUGAUGGAGAAUGCAGAUGAAGCAGGGGAUGAUCAGGGAUCGGGUUGGUUUGAAGUGAAAAAGGCGAUGAUGAUAAGUAGAGGAAAACGUGGAAAAUGAUGGCUUCGAACAAGCGGAAGUUUGGACGGUCUAUUCAUAGGCAACCACUUUCUAAUGUUCUUAUACUUGGUCUUUGCACACAUGUUCCUCCUACGGCGAUGCUGAUAGAUGAAAGAAAUCUCACUUCGAAUGUCCUCUUGGUCGAUAGGAGUGCACACUCAAAUAUGUCUUUCAUCUUAGCCUCAAACAAAAAAAUUCAAUUGGUUCAUAUUUAUUUAGCUUCUUCUGUGAGUUUUUUCUCCCCCCCCUCCUGAUUAAAUAUGCCAUUCAUCUGAGCCUAUUUAUUUAGCUUCUUCUGUGAGUUUUUUUCCCUCCCCCAAGGUGGUAACUACUAUAUAAGGCUACUUCAUACUUUGUUCGAUUUUAAAUUUGCACUGCGCAAAUCACUUUGUAAA